UUGACAUUGACACCAAGAUCGAGGGCACGACGAAUGGUCUCUGCACUAUCGUGCCUUGGAGGAUCAAAGAGAGGCAAGAGGCCCAAAAAUUGCCAGGGAGUUCCUGUGCUCUCUUUGGUUUUCUCUGGAACUGUCUGCAACAAGUAAUAUAUUUUCCUGGUGUUGAUUAGGGGAAGGAAACUGCAGAUUCAAAUAAAAACUAGUAAUUUGUGCUAAGGGAUACAUUACCUGCUCCGGUGCACCUUUGCUUAUUCUGUGCCAAUUUCCAUCGGAAUCAAUGUAUGUUAUGGCUGUACGCUUUUCCACUGGAUUAAAUGGCAAGAAAUGCACCUCCGUGAUACCAGCUCUAGCCUGCAGAGUUCGACAAGGAAAAAGAUUUGAUGAAUUAGAUUUAAAAUUGAAGAACUACAAUUGCAUAGCAAAAAGGUUUAUAUCUUUAAUAUAAUGUACCUCUUUGGGGUCUCCCAGCAUUCCAACAAUACAA